UUGAUGAUGAGUUACUUGUUGGACAUAAGAUAAAGCAAUAUAAAUCAAAAUUGUAAAAUGAAGAUGGAAACGAAUCGGUGACAGAAGCCAAAAAUGCUUCUGUCAAGCAUGGCAGGCACUAAAGUGCUGAAGUUGUACGGCAUACACGACCUAGCCAUGCGAGUUCACAGCAGGGGAUGUUUUGUGGGCAACCUAGAGUCGCCAGAAAUGUCACUGGCGUGAUACUUUUGAGCAGGUUGUAAAGAAAUGCUUUUAAGAAAGAUUGUGAUUUUUUGGAGUUGUAAAACAAAUUCCA
rnacentral:lncRNA from 1 species